AUUGAACGCUGGCGGCAGGCUUAACACAUGCAAGUCGAGCGGGGAAGUUGCUUCGGUAAUUGACCUAGCGGCGGACGGGUGAGUAAUACUUAGGAAUCUGCCUAUUAAUGGGGGACAACAUCUCGAAAGGGAUGCUAAUACCGCAUACGCCCUACGGGGGAAAGCAGGGGAUCACUUGUGACCUUGCGGUAAUAGAUGAGCCUAAGUCGGAGUAUCUAGUUGGUGGGGUAAAGGCCUACCAAGGCGACGAUCUGUAGCGGGUCUGAGAGGAUGAUCCGCCACACUGGGACUGAGACACGGCCCAGACUCCUACGGGAGGCAGCAGUGGGGAAUAUUGGACAAUGGGGGGAACCCUGAUCCAGCCAUGCCGCGUGUGUGAAGAAGGCCUUAUGGUUGUAAAGCACCUUAAGCGAGGAGGAGGCUCUUUUGGUUAAUACCCAAGAUGAGUGGACGUUACUCGCAGAAUAAGCACCGGCUAACUCUGUGCCAGCCGCCGCCGUAAAAC
rnacentral:rRNA from 1 species